rnacentral:misc_RNA from 1 species
CGUCACACUCCUCUGUAAUUAUCUUCCUCUUUACUAUACCUGCAUUCUUAGAAGCAGGAAUUUAUGCGUAAUUUACAUGUAUCUAUGUAGAUAGAAAGGGAAAAAGAGAGGGUUGGUUGCGAUGAUUAGAAAAGAAAUUCCUCGUUCUGAAUGCUAUAGCCAUGGCAUGACAGACUCCUUUACACCCAUAGAAUAUGAGCACCGCCC